UUCACUUCCCUCCUUUCUUCUUAGCACCUGCAACUUUCAAGCAUUACUGAGAUGAGAGUCGUCAGAACUCACGGGAAUUGCGUUGCGAUCCGUACUCUUUCUCCUCCAUCUUCCAUCACCCGAUGCUCUCACGGCUCUGCUUCUUCUUCAGAUGAUGCAACUAGUGGGACGCCUACUUGGAUUGGUAAGGGCCUCACUUGUGUAUGCUUCAAGCGAAAGGGAACUUACGAACGGAUCUACAUUAACUUGACA
rnacentral:misc_RNA from 1 species